GACACAGGUGCUGCAUGGCUGUCGUCAGCUCGUGUCGUGAGAUGUUGGGUUAAGUCCGUAACGAGCGCAACCCUUGUCCUUAGUUACCAGCACGUUAUGGUGGGCACUCUAAGGAGACUGCCGGUGACAAACCGGAGGAAGGUGGGGAGUGACGUCAAGUCAUCAUGGCCCUUACGGCCUGGGCUACACACGUGCUACAAUGGUCGGUACAAAGGGUUGCCAAGCCGCGAGGUGGAGCUAAUCCCAUAAAACCGAUCGUAGUCCGGAUCGCAGUCUGCAACUCGACUGCGUGAAGUCGGAAUCGCUAGUAAUCGUGAACCAGAAUGUCACGGUGAAUACGUUCCCGGGCCUU
rnacentral:rRNA from 1 species